AUGAACGCUAGCGGCAGGCCUAAUACCUGCAAGUCGGACGGGAUUCAGGAGCUUGCUUCUGAUGAGAGUGGCGCACGGGUGCGUAACACGUAUGUAACCUACCUUUAUCAGGGGGAUAGCCUCUCGAAAGAGAGAUUAAGCCCGCAUAAAAUCACAGCACAGCAUUGUGUAAUGAUCAAAUAUUUAUAGGAUAAAGAUGGGCAUGCGGAACAUUAGCUAGAUGGCGGGGUAACGGCCCACCAUGGCGACGAUGUUUAGGGGAUCUGAGAGGAUGGCCCCCCACACUGGUACUGAGACACGGACCAGACUCCUACGGGAGGCAGCAGUAAGGAAUAUUGGUCAAUGGGCGGAAGCCUGAACCAGCCAUGCCGCGUGCAGGAAGACGGCCCUACGGGUUGUAAACUGCUUUUAUACGGGAAUAAACCCAGAUACGUGUAUCUGGCUGAAUGUACUGUAAGAAUAAGGAUCGGCUAACUCCGUG
rnacentral:rRNA from 1 species